ACUCCUACGGGAGGCAGCAGUGGGGAAUAUUGCACAAUGGGCGCAAGCCUGAUGCAGCCAUGCCGCGUGUAUGAAGAAGGCCUUCGGGUUGUAAAGUACUUUCAGCGGGGAGGAAGGCAAUACGGUUAAUAACCGUGUUGAUUGACGUUACCCGCAGAAGAAGCACCGGCUAACUCCGUGCCAGCAGCCGCGGUAAUACGGAGGGUGCAAGCGUUAAUCGGAAUUACUGGGCGUAAAGCGCACGCAGGCGGUCUGUCAAGUCGGAUGUGAAAUCCCCGGGCUCAACCUGGGAACUGCAUUCGGAACUGGCAGGCUUGAGUCUUGUAGAGGGGGGUAGAAUUCCAGGUGUAGCGGUGAAAUGCGUAGAGAUCUGGAGGAAUACCGGUGGCGAAGGCGGCCCCCUGGACAAAGACUGACGCUCAGGUGCGAAAGCGUGGGGAGCAAACAGGAUUAGAAACCCCAGUAGUCCC
rnacentral:rRNA from 1 species